AGCAGUUUCUCAUCAGAGACAUGGAAGGAGAAAUGGAUAAGGAAAGGAUGAAAAAAAAUCCCGGGAGAAGGAGCUAAGAAAGAGCUGUAGGAUAAACUCUGUAAGGGGAAUUUCCAAGUGUUCCUUCUGUUUUACAUAAGGGAUCAUUGGAGCCACUAGAUUGACACAGGUCAAAUGCUCUUGGAAGAGUUUUUUGGUAUGUAAUUUAAAAAUUAAUCUUCACUGUCAAUGGAACUGAUGCCCUUUUCUUUUGUGAUCCCAUCUGGAACGUCCUUUUUCAAUUUGCUGCAUUUUCCAGCUUUCUGCUAAAGCUGUUUUCAAGGACUGAGAAACGGACUUCAUUGGUGCUUGCUGUUCCCUGCCCUGGGUUAUGUUCCCUUUGAAGCUGCAAUAUCUUCCUUGCCUGGAGGAGUUUGCAAGGAGUACAAGGCUUCUCUGAAUCUGGCACGUGGUGCCUUGUUUUCAUAAUGAAUCCUCUGGAGGCUUCUGUUAAUUACUUCACCAGAAUUCUUAUAUAUAGCAUCAAAAUGAAAUUCCCCUAACACAGAGAAGAAAUAUAGGCCUCUGUUGCCUAAGGAGCCAGCACUGAAGUGCUGGCUUUAACAUGCACAAAAGUAUACCAAUGGAUAUCAAAGUCCUGGUAUAAAUAGGUUCCCUACUCAGAUCACACUUGCAAAUUGGGAGGUGCUCACAGGAAAAAUUCCACCUACAUGCAGCAUAACCAGCUACAGCCAGGGAAGGAGGUUUUAUGUGCUGGGCACAGGCAGUGCAGGCACACAGCAUUAGUCAGGAACAGCAGCACACAUAGAUGUACCUGGUAAGAUGAAGAAGGGAAGUCCAUAAACCACAGAAAUACACACUGCUCACAAGUGCAGCUUGAAGUACUGUGCACACACAAAAGCUAUUAAGAUGUAGAUGCAGCCUCAUUAAUCUGGGCUGUUUUACAAACCCUAUUCCCUAGCUUUCGUAGGGGAUUUAGGUGAUAAAUGAGGCCAUUUUGAAAUCUGGCAAAAUGCUGCCUUCCUCAGAGCAUACUACAGAAUAAAAUUCUUAUAUAAUGUGUAAAGCGUGAGGGGGAGGGGGCAUCUCCAGGAAGGAGCACAUGUCUGGGCGUGUGUUUGCAUGUAAACUAUUAGCUUUACCUCUGCUGCAGUGCAUUUGUGCAAGUGUUCUGUGUGUCUGUGUUGUGUGUGGGGGUAUGGAUAUACAGCUGAGGCUCUAUGAACUGAUUUGCACAUUGGAUAGGAAGAGAAGAGACCUCUGAGUGUAGAUCUCAUAUCUUUCCCAUCCCCAGUUUGGAAAACUUGCCAUGGCUGACCUUCAGGGUCUACUACAAAGGUUAUGGGUUAAGCAGGAAUAAGGACCUUAAUUUAUCAUGGGUAGGUUGGAGAGUUGUCUAGCAAUAAAGAUAUCUUGUCAGCAUCAUGACCUUUGCUUUGUGUUUGUGAACUUUUGCUAUCGGUACCCUAGGGGCUUAGGGGAAAUGAAGGAUAUGAACAGAGAUAUAUGGGUAUGUGUAUGGUGUGACUAUCAUGUUCAUUAAUUGUAGAACCAUAUGUGAAAAAUAUUUACAUACAUCUUUUCUUUUCCCUUCCUGCAUUAAUAUCAGAGUUACAGACACUCUGUAAUUUAUCAAUUAGUCUUUAUUGAGAUUGCCUCUGGCAGUGCAGACUUUCAAACAGCUUUGAAUGGGUGCUGCUGAUGGAAUCUUCUGUAAAUGGAUGAUGUUUCAUCUCCUGUUGACUCAUUGCCUACAACUCCCUAGUUUGUACAGUAGCCCAUGUAAUCUCUACAUCUUUACAACACCCCACUUGGGUAGUGUUAUGAACAAAACAGCCUGGCCUGGACACUUGGCUCGAACUAAGUACUGACAUUGAAAUGUUAAUUAGCUAAUUGCUCCUGGGAAUCACCUACCACCUCACCCUCACUACCAUUCUAGGACUGGGAUGCAAAAUAGGGAGACCAGUGGAAUCAUGGGAGGGGGUUUUGGGGAUGAAAACACCCCUGAAUGGAAGGCUGGGCACAGUGGAGGGGGCUGGAUGGGUGUGCUGGUUGGGGAAAAGGGAACUACAUCUCUAGUCUGUGUUUGACCUGUCACCAUAACCUACAGAGGACCAGACUGGACUGGGCUGUGGGAAGCAGGAGCAAAGGAGCGACACUUCCUGUGUUACCAGGAGGGAAGGAGAGGGAUAGCUGCUGCUGGACAUCAGAUACAGGCUGCACACCUCUUCACCUCCAGCUACCAGUGUCGAGCCCCCUGCAAAGAGCUGAACAUUAAUAAAGACAUAGACCCUGCUCAUUUCAGUGUUCCUUUUGUAAUGGCAUCUGGAUCCUGAAUAGGUCAUUGAGGUGCUGCUACUGCAACAGUAAUGCCAGUAAUAAUAAUAACUGCAACUGGAGGAUCACAAGUGCACCACAAAGUACUUGCUUCUAGCCUUCAGGUGGAUCAAUACUGUGACCUUCAAAGUCAAGGCAUAUUUAUCUACUGAAGUAUGCAAUGUACUCAUGGCCAGAUGGAUUAUCUGCUAUUCUAACUGUCCUCUGAGAUGUCAUCAACUGGACACUGCUAAGACUGGCCUCCAUAACAGGUGCAAAAUCCACAGAUCCUUGUAUCCUCCUCUUUCUCGUUUUCUUGGCCACCUCGGGGAAGUCCUGUCUGUUAUCCAAGCUUGAACCCUCUGCUCCAGAGCAUGCUCAGCAGCGAGUAGCUUGCUAAAGUACCAGGUCUUGGGCGUCUCUACAGCCGGGAAGCUGCUGCCUCCCACUGCCUACAUCAGUGCCAGAGAUACUGUCUCCAUGGCAACAGAGAGCUUUUUUUGUUUUUCUGAUGAACAGUUUCAAGGAAUAGAAAAAAGCACAUCUGGAGUUGCCUUAUCAGCUGCUCCCUGCCCCCCUGCCUGCCAGAGUCAACAAGAGACAAUACCUCAGUUUUAGCAGACCUGGGCUGAACAUCCCAGGAGACAGAAUGAAAGCAAGUGAGGUGUACAAGAGAGAGGAGUGUAUUAUUGAUUUAAGGAUGGCUUUGGGUUGGUUACCUUACUGUUUUCAUGUUAGGGGCUUUUCAUGGGAGUAGCUCAACCACACGAGCCUGCUGUGUAUUUUCUAUCUGUUAUGUGUUGCUGAACAUCUGAGCAGGACUCACUUUUGUAUCCCUCAUUCAUAAAGGCAGUUUCUAAGUUUCUAAGCCGUUUGUUCAGCCGUACUUUUCUUAUGGGAUAGAAAAUUCUUACGUAUUUUUUGGGAGUCAGUGCUUCAAAAAAGUUCUUUAGAAUUGUCAUUAUUUUCACUUUCUGUGUCUAGUUCUAGGAACAAGUGUUUUGCCACUGUUGUCUGCUGUGUAAGAAAGCCUCUUUUUUACAAAGAGAAGCCAUUUCUUAAUGGCUUCUGGGUUAUCAAACAGGAAAGCUGUUACUGUCAUAUAUAACCCACUGUAUGUGGUUUCUUUAACUUCUUCGACUCUUAUGGAUCAUUUUUUGGUCUGUUCUCAGAAAGGAGAUCAGGUGAUCCUGUUCCUUCCCUGCCUCACACCAUCCUCUUUUGAAUACAGCAGUUCUAGCAGACAAUUUAACAAAGAGGUGAUGCUGGCUGGCUGUGUCCAGCACAGGAAGAGGCAGAGGAAUUGGGCUCCCUGCCAUCAACCUCUAACUUCAGCAGGCGGGAUGUGGGAAAAAGCAAAACCCAACCCCAGCCAAAUAAAGCUGGCCUGCAAAAGACCUUCAUUCCUGAAGAAUUUUUGAAUUAAAUACUGGCUACAGCCAGCCAGAUUCCACUGAAAAUGACUAUGUCAACUGGUUUUAAAUAACAGUCUUUCAUGUAUGUGCUUUUUAUGUUUCUUCCUAUUGUCUGUUGAUUUCCCCAUAGACACCGACAAAUUAAAUCUUUUGCUCA
rnacentral:lncRNA from 1 species